rnacentral:rRNA from 1 species
CGCAGCCGCGGUAAUUCCAGCUCCAAUAGCGUAUAUUAAAGUUGUUGCAGUUAAAAAGCUCGUAGUUGAAUUUCGGGAUCAGUAAGCCGGUCGUACCUUCGGUAUGUACUGGUGUCACUGAUUCCUCCCUUCUGAUGAACUGUUAUACCAUUUAGUUGGUGUGGCGGGGAAUCAGGACUGUUACUUUGAAAAAAUUGAGUGUUUAAAGCAAGCUCGCGCUUGAAUACAUUAGCAUGGAAUAAUAAAAUAGGACGUUUGAUCUCCUAUUUUGUUGGUUUCUAGGAUCGACGUAAUGAUCAAUAGGGAUAGUUGGGGGCAUUAGUAUUCAAUUGUCAGAGGUGAAAUUCUUGGAUUUAUUGAAGACUAACUACUGCGAAAGCAUUUGCCAAGGAU